rnacentral:tRNA from 1 species
UAGGAAUUAGUACAAAUGGAAGUACGUAAAAUUUUGGGUUUUGUAGUGCAGGUUCAAGUCCUGUUUUCUAG